UACGGGGGGGUAAGCGUUGUUCGGAAUUACUGGGCGUAAAGGGCUCGUAGGCGGCCAACUAAGUCAUACGUGAAAUCCCUCAGCUUAACUGGGGAACUGCGUGUGAUACUGGAUGGCUUGGAUUUGGGAGAGGGAUGGCGGAAUUCCAGGUGUAGCGGUGAAAUGCGUAGAUAUCUGGAGGAACACCGGUGGCGAAGGCGGCAUCCUGGACCAAUAUUGACGCUGAGGAGCGAAAGCCAGGGGAGCAAACGGG
rnacentral:rRNA from 1 species